rnacentral:rRNA from 1 species
AUUGAACGCUGGCGGCAUGCCUUACACAUGCAAGUCGAACGGUAACAGGCCGCUGGCUGCUGGCGAGAGCGGCAGGGGGGUGUAUAGUGCCUAAAAGUCUGCCGAGGAGGGGGGUAUAGCGUCGAAAGAUGUGCGCUUAUAGCACGUGCUUUGAGGAUGAAAAAGGGGGAGCGCGUAGCACCGUAUGCUCUCGCGUGAUUGUAGGGCGGUAUGUCGGAUUAGUUAGUUGGUGGGGUAAAGGCCUACCAAGGCGACGAUCCGUAGCUGGUCUGAGAGGACGAUCAGCCACACUGGAACUGAGACACGGUCCAGACUCCUACGGGAGGCAGCAGUGGGGAAUUUUGGACAAUGGGCGCAAGCCUGAUCCAGCAAUGCCGCGUGUGGGAAGAAGGUCUUCGGAUUGUAAAGCACUUUUAGUUGGGAGGAAGCGCAGUAAGUUAAUACCGGGCUGUAUUGACGGUACCAACAGAAUAAGCACCGGCUAACUUCGUG